rnacentral:rRNA from 1 species
CCUACGGGGGCUGCAGUGGGGAAUAUUGGACAAUGGGGGGAACCCUGAUCCAGCCAUGCCGCGUGUGUGAAGAAGGCCCUCGGGUUGUAAAGCACUUUCAGUGAGGAAGAACGCCUGGUGGUUAAUACCCAUCAGGAAAGACAUCACUCACAGAAGAAGCACCGGCUAACUCCGUGCCAGCAGCCGCGGUAAUACGGAGGGUGCGAGCGUUAAUCGGAAUUACUGGGCGUAAAGCGCGCGUAGGUGGCUUGAUAAGCCGGUUGUGAAAGCCCCGGGCUCAACCUGGGAACGGCAUCCGGAACUGUCAAGCUAGAGUGCAGGAGAGGAAGGUAGAAUUCCCGGUGUAGCGGUGAAAUGCGUAGAGAUCGUGAGGAAUACCAGUGGCGAAGGCGGCCUUCUGGACUGACACUGACACUGAGGUGCGAAAGCGUGGGUAGCAAACAGGAUUAGAUACCCGAGUAGUC